rnacentral:rRNA from 1 species
UACGAAGGUCCCAAGCGUUAUCCGGAUUUAUUGGGUUUAAAGGGUGCGUAGGCGGACUAUUAAGUCAGUGGUGAAAGCCCCCAGCCUAACUGGGGAACUGCCAUUGAUACUGAUGGUCUUGAGUACAUUUGAGGUGGGCGGAAUGUGUCAUGUAGCGGUGAAAUGCUUAGAUAUGACACAGAACACCGAUUGCGAAGGCAGCUCACUAAACUGUAACUGACGCUGAGGCACGAAAGCGUAGGGAGCAAACAGG